CCCUGACAGUCGCAUGGUGUGGCUGACUUAACCCUGACAGGAGAUUCUCAUG
rnacentral:sRNA from 12 species